UGGGGAAUUUUGCACAAUGGGGGAAACCCUGAUGCAGCGACGCCGCGUGAUUUAGAAGGCCUUCGGGUUGUAAAAAUCUUUUCUAUGGGAAGAAAAUGACAGUACCAUAGGAAUAAGGACCGGCUAAUUACGUGCCAGCAGCCGCGGUAAUACGUAAGGUCCGAGCGUUGUCCGGAAUCAUUGGGCGUAAAGGGUACGUAGGCGGGUAAGCAAGUUAGAAGUGAAAUCCUAUAGCUCAACUAUAGUAAGCUUUUAAAACUGCUCAUCUUGAGGUAUGGAAGGGAAAGUGGAAUUCCUAGGGUAGCGGUGAAAUACGCAGAUAUUAGGAGGAAUACCGGUGGCGAAGGCGACUUUCUGGACGUAACCUGACGCUGAAGUACGAAAGCGGGGGUAGCAAACAGG
rnacentral:rRNA from 1 species